rnacentral:rRNA from 1 species
UACAGAGGUCUCAAGCGUUGUUCGGAUUCAUUGGGCGUAAAGGGUGCGUAGGUGGCGCCGUAAGUCAGGUGUGAAAUUUCGGAGCUUAACUCCGAAACUGCAUUUGAUACUGCGGUGCUUGAGGACUGGGAGAGGAGACUGGAAUUUACGGUGUAGCAGUGAAAUGCGUAGAGAUCGUAAGGAAGACCAGUGGCGAAGGCGGGUCUCUGG